rnacentral:rRNA from 1 species
GACGUAGGGCGCGAGCGUUGUCCGGAUUGAUUGGGCGUAAAGAGCUCGUAGGCGGCUCGUUGCGUCGGCUGACUGAAACCCGCAGCUCAACUGUGGGCCUGCAGCCGAUACGGGCGGGCUGGAGUUCGGUAGGGGAGACUGGAAUUCCUGGUGUAGCGGUGAAAUGCGUAGAUAUGUGGAGGAAUACCGAUGGCGAAGGCAGCCCC